rnacentral:rRNA from 1 species
UACGUAGGGGGCGAGCGUUGUCCGAAGUUACUGGGCGUAAAGCGUGCGCAGGCGGUUUUGUAAGUCUGUCGUGAAAUCCCCGGGCUUAACCUGGGAAUGGCGAUGGAGACUGCAAGGCUAGAGUUUGGCAGAGGGGGGUAGAAUUCCACGUGUAGCAGUGAAAUGCGGAGAGAUGUGGAGGAACACCGAUGGCGAAGGCAGCCCCCUGGGUCAAAACUGACGCUCAUGCACGAAAGCGUGGGGAGCAAACAGG